GGAACCCUGCCCAGAAAAGGAGAAGCACUCCUGGGGGAAGAGGGACGCCGAAGAUGUGCUGAACCUCGCAGACUCUUUCCCCGCUCAGCUUCAAGAUUCACUCCUGGCCUCCUUCAACUCUUCCCUAAAUGGUCAAGUGUCAGUGCAUCUCUUCUUGGCUACCUUUGGGUGAGUUCCGUCCAAGGCAGGAGUUGGGUCCCCGGGAAUGGCACAGGGCUGGCACACUGAAGACAGGACGUGCUUAAGUGCAUAAAUACCCAGGAAAGGCUGGCUCAAGCGAGUAGGAGCCGAAUGUGCAAAGGACC